UGGGGGAUAUUGCACAAUGGGCGAAAGCCUGAUGCAGCGACGCCGCGUGGGGGAUGAAGGCCUUCGGGUUGUAAACUUCUUUUGCUCUGAACAAGGCAUGCCUUUGGGGUGUGUUGAGUGUAGGGGUUGAUUAGCGCCGGCUAACUACGUGCCAGCAGCCGCGGUAAUACGUAGGGCGCGAGCGUUGUCCGGAAUUAUUGGGCGUAAAGGGCUUUUAGGUGGCUGGUUGCGUCUGUCGUGAAAGCUCAUGGCUUAACUGUGGGUUAGCUGUGGGUACGGGCUGGCUUGAGUGCCGUAGGGGAGGCUGGAAUUCCUGGUGUAGCGGUGGAAUGCGCAGAUAUCAGGAGGAAUACCGGUGGCGAAGGCGGGUCUCUGGGCUGUUACUGACGAUGAGGAGCGAAAGCGUGGGGAGCGAACAGG
rnacentral:rRNA from 1 species